UACGUAGGGGGCAAGCGUUGUCCGGAUUUAUUGGGCGUAAAGAGCGUGUAGGCGGCCAGACAGGUCCGUUGUGAAAACUCGAGGCUUAACCUCGAGACGUCGAUGGAAACCGUCUGGCUAGAGUCCGGAAGAGGAGUGUGGAAUUCCUGGUGUAGCGGUGAAAUGCGCAGAUAUCAGGAAGAACACCUAUGGCGAAGGCAGCACUCUGGGACGGUACUGACGCUGAGACGCGAAAGCGUGGGGAGCGAACAGG
rnacentral:rRNA from 1 species